UACGAAGGGUGCAAGCGUUACUCGGAAUUACUGGGCGUAAAGGGCGCGUAGCGGCGCAACAAGUCACUUGUGAAAUCUCCGGGCUUAACCCGGAGCGGUCAAGUGAUACUGUCGUGCUAGAGUGCGGAAGGGGCUACUGGAAUUCUCGGUGUAGCGGUGAAAUGCGUAGAUAUCAAGAGGAACACCUGAGGUGAAGACGGGUUGCUGGGCUGACACUGACGGCUGAGGAGCGAAAGCCAGGGGAGCAAACGGG
rnacentral:rRNA from 1 species